rnacentral:rRNA from 1 species
AUUGAACGCUGGCGCAGGCCUAACACAUGCAAGUCGAGCGGAUGAAGGGAGCUUGCUCCCUGAUUCAGCGGCGGACGGGUGAGUAAUGCCUAGGAAUCUGCCUGGUAGUGGGGGACAACGUCUCGAAAGGGACGCUAAUACCGCAUACGUCCUACGGGAGAAAGCAGGGGACCUUCGGGCCUUGCGCUAUCAGAUGAGCCUAGGUCGGAUUAGCUAGUUGGUGGGGUAAUGGCUCACCAAGGCGACGAUCCGUAACUGGUCUGAGAGGAUGAUCAGUCACACUGGAACUGAGACACGGUCCAGACUCCUACGGGAGGCAGCAGUGGGGAAUAUUGGACAAUGGGCGAAAGCCUGAUCCAGCCAUGCCGCGUGUGUGAAGAAGGUCUUCGGAUUGUAAAGCACUUUAAGUUGGGAGGAAGGGCAGCUAAUUAAUACUUCGCUGUUUUGACGUUACCGACAGAAUAAGCACCGGCUAACUCUGUGCCAGCAGCCGCGGUAAUACAGAGGGUGCAAGCGUUAAUCGGAAUUACUGGGCGUAAAGCGCGCGUAGGUGGUUUGUUAAGUUGAAUGUGAAUCCCCGGGCUCAACCUGGGAACUGCAUCCAAAACUGGCAAGCUAGAGUAGGGCAGAGGGUGGUGGAAUUUCCUGUGUAGCGGUGAAAUGCGUAGAUAUAGGAAGGAACACCAGUGGCGAAGGCGACCACCUGGGCUCAUACUGACACUGAGGUGCGAAAGCGUGGGGAGCAAACAGGAUUAGAUACCCUGGUAGUCCACGCCGUAAACGAUGUCAACUAGCCGUUGGAAGCCUUGAGCUUUUAGUGGCGCAGCUAACGCAUUAGUUGACCGCCUGGGGAGUACGGCCGCAAGGUUAAAACUCAAAGGAAUUGACGG